rnacentral:rRNA from 1 species
UACGUAGGGUGCAAGCGUUGUCCGGAAUUAUUGGGCGUAAAGAGCUCGUAGGCGGUCUGUCGCGUCGGCUGUGAAAACCCGAGGCUCAACCUCGGGCCUGCAGUCGAUACGGGCAAGCUAGAGUACUGCAGGGGAGACUGGAAUUCCUGGUGUAGCGGUGAAAUGCGUAGAUAUCGGGAGGAACACCUGUGGCGAAGGCGGCCCCCUGGUUGGAUACUGACGCUGAUGCGCGAAAGCGUGGGGAGCAAACAGG